rnacentral:rRNA from 1 species
UACGGGGGGGGUAAGCGUUGUUCGGAAUUAUUGGGCGUAAAGAGCUCGUAGGCGGUUUGUCGCGUCUGCCGUGAAAGUCCGGGGCUCAACUCCGGAUCUGCGGUGGGUACGGGCAGACUAGAGUGAUGUAGGGGAGACUGGAAUUCCUGGUGUAGCGGUGAAAUGCGCAGAUAUCAGGAGGAACACCGAUGGCGAAGGCAGGUCUCUGGGCAUUAACUGACGCUGAGGAGCGAAAGCAUGGGGAGCGAACAGG